ACGUGUGAUCAUACCACCAUUAUUGAACCGGAUCCCAUCAGAACUCCGCAGUUAAUGGCAUUUGGGCUAGAGUAGUACUGGUAUGGGUGACCUUUUGUGAAGUGAUAGUGUUGAACCCU
rfam:Picea glauca, whole genome shotgun sequence.